UACGUAGGGGGCGAGCGUUGUCCGGAGUUACUGGGCGUAAAGCGCACGCAGGCGGUCUUUUAAGUCGGGGGUGAAAUCCUGGAGCUCAACUCCAGAACUGCCUUCGAUACUGGAAGACUUGAGUCCGGGAGAGGUGAGUGGAACUGCGAGUGUAGAGGUGAAAUUCGUAGAUAUUCGCAAGAACACCAGUGGCGAAGGCGGCUCACUGGCCCGGUACUGACGCUGAGGUGCGAAAGCGUGGGGAGCAAACAGG
rnacentral:rRNA from 1 species